rnacentral:rRNA from 1 species
GACGAACGCUGGCGGCGCGCCUAACACAUGCAAGUCGAACGAGAGAUGAGGAGCUUGCUCUUCAAAUCGAGUGGCGAACGGGUGAGUAACGCGUGAGGAACCUGCCUCAAAGAGGGGGACAACAGUUGGAAACGACUGCUAAUACCGCAUAAGCCCACGGCUCGGCAUCGAGCAGAGGGAAAAGGAGCAAUCCGCUUUGAGAUGGCCUCGCGUCCGAUUAGCUAGUUGGUGAGGUAACGGCCCACCAAGGCGACGAUCGGUAGCCGGACUGAGAGGUUGAACGGCCACAUUGGGACUGAGACACGGCCCAGACUCCUACGGGAGGCAGCAGUGGGGAAUAUUGCACAAUGGGGGAAACCCUGAUGCAGCGACGCCGCGUAGAGGAAGAAGGUCUUCGGAUUGUAAACUCCUGUUGUUGAGGAAGAUAAUGACGGUACUCAACAAGGAAGUGACGGCUAACUACGUGCCAGCAGCCGCGGUAAAACGUAGGUCACAAGCGUUGUCCGGAAUUACUGGGUGUAAAGGGAGCGCAGGCGGGAGAACAAGUUGGAAGUGAAAUCCAUGGGCUCAACCCAUGAACUGCUUUCAAAACUGUUUUUCUUGAGUAGUGCAGAGGUAGGCGGAAUUCCCGGUGUAGCGGUGGAAUGCGUAGAUAUCGGGAGGAACACCAGUGGCGAAGGCGGCCUACUGGGCACCAACUGACGCUGAGGCUCGAAAGUGUGGGUAGCAAACAGGAUUAGAUACCCUGGUAGUCCACACCGUAAACGAUGAUUACUAGGUGUUGGAGGAUUGACCCCUUCAGUGCCGCAGUUAACACAAUAAGUAAUCCACCUGGGGAGUACGACCGCAAGGUUGAAACUCAAAGGAAUUGACGGGGGCCCGCACAAGCAGUGGAGUAUGUGGUUUAAUUCGACGCAACGCGAAGAACCUUACCAAGUCUUGACAUCCCUUGACGAACAUAGAAAUAUGUUUUCUCUUCGGAGCAAGGAGACAGGUGGUGCAUGGUUGUCGUCAGCUCGUGUCGUGAGAUGUUGGGUUAAGUCCCGCAACGAGCGCAACCCUUAUGGUCAGUUACUACGCAAGAGGACUCUGGCCAGACUGCCGUUGACAAAACGGAGGAAGGUGGGGAUGACGUCAAAUCAUCAUGCCCUUUAUGACUUGGGCUACACACGUACUACAAUGGCGUUAAACAAAGAGAAGCAAGACCGCGAGGUGGAGCAAAACUCAGAAACAACGUCCCAGUUCGGACUGCAGGCUGCAACUCGCCUGCACGAAGUCGGAAUUGCUAGUAAUCGUGGAUCAGCAUGCCACGGUGAAUACGUUCCCGGGCCU